CCCUUCGUGCAACCUCUUCGACUUGGGCUCCCCCUCUUUUCCUUAAUCGACCAAGGACGAUCCUCGGCGAACCCGCCGGUUUCCUGGUGAUGGAAUUGGAUCAGUGGAUCGCGAAGGUGAAGAAAGGGCAGCAUCUGGAGGGACACGAGCUACAACUCCUCUGCUAAUACCCUACGAGGAGGAAGAAAUGAUGCAGGUUCUCGUGCCGAAGAAAGCAGAGCGUUUUGCUUCAGCUGAAGGAAAAGGAAGGGGAUUUUGACUUCAUGACAGAUUGGGUAUACAGAUUGAACAGGAAUAAAAGCUUAAAAUUAAGUUGCUAUGUACAUGUAGCUGGAAACCUGAGUAUCAACUAUUUUUCUGACAAUUAUGAGAUAAGAUCAUUCCAGAAUGGGAGAUCAAAUGGCAACUUUA